rfam:Enterococcus columbae DSM 7374 = ATCC 51263 genomic scaffold acyDG-supercont2.8, whole genome shotgun sequence.
AAUAGAUUUCCUAGAAAGACUAGUAAUUAUUGACUCCUUUUUAGAGAGCAGUUGGUUGGUGCAAAACUGUAUGGAAGAUAGUGAAUCCACUUUCUGAUAGGACUCACAAAGAAAUUUGUGACGGCUAGCAACCGUUACCUUGCGCAAAGUGUAGUAUGCAGAUACUAAAUUUAGGUGGCACCGCGUAAUUUACGUCCUAAGG